GCCCCCGUGGCGGAAUUGGUAGACGCGCCUGACUCAAAAUCAGGUUUCCUCACGGAAGUGUUGGUUCGAGUCCGACCGGGGGCA
rnacentral:tRNA from 1 species